UACGAAGGGGGCUAGCGUUGCUCGGAAUCACUGGGCGUAAAGCGCACGUAGGCGGCUUUCUAAGUCAGGGGUGAAAUCCUGGAGCUCAACUCCAGAACUGCCUUUGAUACUGGAGAGCUUGAGUCCGGGAGAGGUGAGUGGAACUCCGAGUGUAGAGGUGAAAUUCGUAGAUAUUCGGAAGAACACCAGUGGCGAAGGCGGCUCACUGGCCCGGUACUGACGCUGAGGUGCGAAAAGCGUGGGGAGCAAACAGG
rnacentral:rRNA from 1 species